rnacentral:lncRNA from 10 species
ACUACCCAUAGUUGCAAGGGAGCCUAGCAAAUCAAGUUUUGUUGCCCGAACACUGCCACCUAGAACAAAACGGGGGUUUUAUUAGUAAGGAACAGGGGGAGAAUGGACAGUAAUGAUCAGUGGCUGCUACAAUGUGUGUUAACCCAUUCAUUCGUUACGUCAACCCAGUGUGAUUGGUGCUAUCUGUAGCCUCGUUUUAUAGUUGAAGCAAUAGGCACAGAGAGGUUAUGUAAUUUGCCCAAGCUCACACAGAGCUGUUAAGUGGUUGAGCAAGAACUUGAACCCAAGCAAGCUGACUCUAGAAUCUAAUUCUAUUAUGUCCCUAGACACAUCCUGACCCACUGGCCAGACCACAUUUCUUCUCUAGGAUGUAUAUCCACUUGGGAAAUGCAGGCCUCUCCUGGAAAUGGUAGCUAAUACUUGUUUAGCACUUUAUAGUUUACAAAGAGAUUGCCACUUAAAUUAUUCUCUUUAAAUAUUCUUCUUUUUUUUUUUUUUUUUUUUUGAGACAGAGUCUCACUCUGUUGCCCAGGCUGGAGUGCAGUGGCACGAUCUCAGCUCACUGCAACCUCCACCUCCCAGGUUCAAGUGAUUCUCGUGCCUCAGCCUCCGGAGUAGCCGGGACUAUAGGCGCACACCACCAUGCCUGGCUAAUUUUUGUAUUUUUAGUAGAGACGGGGCUUUACCAUGUUGUCCAGGCUGGUCUCGAACUUCAGACCUCAAGUGAUCCACCUGCCUUGGCCUCCCAAAGAGCUGGGAUUACAGGUGUGAGCUACAGCGCCCGGCCUAUUCUCAUUUUUAAAAUGAGGAAACUGAGGUUUAGAGGAGUUAUGUAAGUUGCCUAAGAUCCCCAGGUUGAAAGUGGCAGAGCUGAUAUUUCCUCAAAAUUAUAAAAACUUACUCCAGUUUCCCUUUCUUAAUCUUCCUGUUCUUCUCUGCACAGAGGAGUUCAUUUCUAGUUUUUUUAAAUGGCAAUAUUUCACUUUAGGCCCUAUAUUAACUUCAUAACCUUCUCACGAAAACCAAACCAGAGAAAUCUUGGCUCUCUCGCCUACUUGUUUUCACAUAGGCCACCAGGAGGAAUGUGCCACAUCAGUGGGAACUGUGACAGAAGUAAGUAAUGGAGGCCUGGAAAGGGAGGUGGUUUUUCUCUCACAUCAUAUAAAAUCCAGAGCUUCCGUCAGAAAAUGAAAGUGUUAGUUACAAAUAGCUCUUAUUGACCUGUUAAAGAGUUAUUAAACAUGUAGACAUUGCUUCUCAUUAGUUACAUCAGAUUAAUUUGUUACUUUUCUUUAAAACUAUUUCAUAAAUUGAACUUGUCACUGAGUAAGAAUUGACAGCCCACUUCACUGGGAUAAAUUAGAGAAGUUUCACUACAUUACUGACACGUCAGUUUGCUUAUGAUUAUUAUUUCUCUCGUUCUUUCCAAGUCUUUGAAAUCUUUAGCUUUUGGCAUUGCUUUAUUUACAUAUCACAACAUUCUUUUGUUUUGGUCUUACUACUGAGUAAACCAUAAAAAUUAAUUGUAGAAUUAAU